AUGGGGAUGAGCCAAUGUCUGGGCCGAUGUCCAACUCCCCUCCCAGCCCCUCACCCCCGAUGGCUACUGACGGGGAGGAGUUGCUAAUCAGGAUGCUCUUCUCAUUCUGCAACGGAUGGGAGUGUGUUCAGUGGUUUGACCCACACUGCUCUCUCCCACCACCUGUCAGCCACCAAUGCACCACCAGCAAGAAAUGAAACACUACUCUGUACCAUCACCUUCAAACUCCAACCCUGCCUUCCUCCAAUGUAACCUAACUGACAGAAGAAUCCUCAAGUCACCUCACUGUCACUGUCUUCCAUCUGAUGUAACCUAACUGACAGAAGAACCCUCAAGUCACCUCACUCCACCACAAACAGCAUUGAGGAAAAGCAGCAGCAGUUCUCUUCAGUGAUGGGACAAAUAAAAACUGCAGUGAGGGAAAGCAGUAGCAGUCCUCUUAAGUGAUGAGAGAAACAAGUGAAAGCUGGAUUGAGAAGACUGAUGCUAAAGAAGAGGAAGGUGAAUCUGCUUUUGUUUACUGACGAUACUGCACUGGUAGCCGAGAAAGCAAAGACAACUAGAG